GACGAACGCUGGCGGCGUGCCUAACACAUGCAAGUCGAGCGGAGGUACAAUGAGAGCAAUCGAGAUGUACUUUAGCGGCGGACGGGUGAGUAACGCGUGAGCAACCUGCCUAUCACAGGGGGGAUAAGGCGGCGAAAGCCGCUCUAAUACCGCAUGAGACCCUCAAAGCGAUGCAAUGGGGGGUAAAGGAGCGAUCCGGUGAGAGAUGGGCUCGCGUCCGAUUAGGUAGUUGGUAGGGUAAGGGCCUACCAAGCCAAUGAUCGGUAGCCGGCCUGAGAGGGUGAACGGCCACAUUGGAACUGAGAGACGGUCCAAACUCCUACGGGAGGCAGCAGUGGGGAAUAUUGGGCAAUGGGCGAAGCCUGACCCAGCAACGCCGCGUGAGGGAAGAAGGUUUUCGGAUUGUAAACCUCUGUUCUUGGGGAAGAGGAGGAGACGGUACCCAAGGAGGAAGCCCCGGACUAACGUACGUGCCGAGCACGCCGACGGUAAACUAGUCUACG
rnacentral:rRNA from 1 species